GACGAACGCUGGCGGCGUGCCUAAUACAUGCAAGUUGAGCGAUGAAGAUUGGUGCUUGCACCAAUUUGAAGAGCAGCGAACGGGUGAGUAACGCGUGGGGAAUCUGCCUUUGAGCGGGGGACAACAUUUGGAAACGAAUGCUAAUACCGCAUAACAACUUUAAACAUAAGUUUUAAGUUUGAAAGAUGCAAUUGCAUCACUCAAAGAUGAUCCCGCGUUGUAUUAGCUAGUUGGUGAGGUAAAGGCUCACCAAAGCGAUGAUACAUAGCCGACCUGAGAGGGUGAUCGGCCAAAGUGGGAAUGAGACCAGGCCCAAACUCCUACGGGAGGCAGCAGUAGGGAAUCUUCGGCAAUGGACGAAAGUCUGACCGCGCAACGCCGCGUGGGUGAAGAAGGUUUUCGGAUCGUAAAACUCUGUUGGUAGAGAAGAACGUUGGUGAGAGUGGAAAGCUCAUCAAGUGACGGUAACUAAACAGAAAGGGACGGCUAACUACGUG
rnacentral:rRNA from 1 species